UGAGGAAUAUUGCACAAUGGGGGAAACCCUGAUGCAGCAACGCCGCGUGGAGGAUGACGCAUUUCGGUGUGUAAACUCCUUUUAUAUGUCAAGAAAAUGACGGUAGCAUAUGAAUAAGCACCGGCUAACUCCGUGCCAGCAGCCGCGGUAAUACGGAGGGUGCAAGCGUUAUUCGGAAUCACUGGGCGUAAAGGACGCGUAGGCUGGAAGCCAAGUCUGAUGUGAAAUCCUAUGGCUUAACCAUAGAACUGCAUUGGAAACUGGUUACCUAGAGUAUGGGAGGGGGAGAUGGAAUUAGUGGUGUAGGGGUAAAAUCCGUAGAUAUCACUAGGAAUACCGAAAGCGAAGGCGAUCUCCUGGAACAAUACUGACGCUAAGGCGUGAAAGCGUGGGGAGCAAACG
rnacentral:rRNA from 1 species